AGAGUUUGAUCCUGGCUCAGGACGAACGCUGGCGGCGUGCCUAAUACAUGCAAGUCGAACGCACUCUCGUUUAGAUUGAAGGAGCUUGCUCCUGAUUGAUAAACAUUUGAGUGAGUGGCGGACGGGUGAGUAACACGUGGGUAACCUGCCCUAAAGUGGGGGAUAACAUUUGGAAACAGGUGCUAAUACCGCAUAAAACCUAACACCGCAUGGUGUAGGGUUGAAAGAUGGUUUCGGCUAUCACUUUAGGAUGGACCCGCGGUGCAUUAGUUAGUUGGUGAGGUAAAGGCUCACCAAGACCGUGAUGCAUAGCCGACCUGAGAGGGUAAUCGGCCACACUGGGACUGAGACACGGCCCAGACUCCUACGGGAGGCAGCAGUAGGGAAUCUUCCACAAUGGACGAAAGUCUGAUGGAGCAACGCCGCGUGAGUGAAGAAGGUUUUCGGAUCGUAAAACUCUGUUGUUGGAGAAGAAUGUAUCUGAUAGUAACUGAUCAGGUAGUGACGGUAUCCAACCAGAAAGCCACGGCUAACUACGUGCCAGCAGCCGCGGUAAUACGUAGGUGGCAAGCGUUGUCCGGAUUUAUUGGGCGUAAAGCGAGCGCAGGCGGUUUCUUAAGUCUGAUGUGAAAGCCUUCGGCUCAACCGAAGAAGUGCAUCGGAAACUGGGAAACUUGAGUGCAGAAGAGGACAGUGGAACUCCAUGUGUAGCGGUGAAAUGCGUAGAUAUAUGGAAGAACACCAGUGGCGAAGGCGGCUGUCUGGUCUGUAACUGACGCUGAGGCUCGAAAGCAUGGGUAGCAAACAGGAUUAGAUACCCUGGUAGUCCAUGCCGUAAACGAUGAGUGCUAGGUGUUGGAGGGUUUCCGCCCUUCAGUGCCGCAGCUAACGCAUUAAGCACUCCGCCUGGGGAGUACGACCGCAAGGUUGAAACUCAAAGGAAUUGACGGGGGCCCGCACAAGCGGUGGAGCAUGUGGUUUAAUUCGAAGCAACGCGAAGAACCUUACCAGGUCUUGACAUCCUUUGACCACUCUAGAGAUAGAGCUUUCCCUUCGGGGACAAAGUGACAGGUGGUGCAUGGUUGUCGUCAGCUCGUGUCGUGAGAUGUUGGGUUAAGUCCCGCAACGAGCGCAACCCUUAUUACUAGUUGCCAGCAUUUAGUUGGGCACUCUAGUGAGACUGCCGGUGACAAACCGGAGGAAGGUGGGGACGACGUCAAAUCAUCAUGCCCCUUAUGACCUGGGCUACACACGUGCUACAAUGGAUGGUACAACGAGUUGCGAGACCGCGAGGUUUAGCUAAUCUCUUAAAACCAUUCUCAGUUCGGAUUGUAGGCUGCAACUCGCCUACAUGAAGUCGGAAUCGCUAGUAAUCGCGGAUCAGCACGCCGCGGUGAAUACGUUCCCGGGCCUUGUACACACCGCCCGUCACACCAUGAGAGUUUGUAACACCCAAAGCCGGUGAGGUAACCCUUCGGGGAGCCAGCCGUCUAAGGUGGGACAGAUGAUUAGGGUGAAGUCGUAACAAGGUAGCCGUAGGAGAACCUGCGGCUG
rnacentral:rRNA from 1 species